AUGACGUCAAAUCAUCAUGCCCCUUAUGACCUGGGCUACACACGUGCUACAAUGGUUGGUACAACGAGUUGCGAGUCGGUGACGGCGAGCUAAUCUCUUAAAGCCAAUCUCAGUUCGGAUUGUAGGCUGCAACUCGCCUACAUGAAGUCGGAAUCGCUAGUAAUCGCGGAUCAGCACGCCGCGGUCGAAUACGUUCCCGGGCCUU
rnacentral:rRNA from 1 species